CGUGCUCCGAGCGGAAAUAGCCCGCGUCACUUCCGUCUUCGAGCGAAAUCGGCAUAGAGUUAGUAGAACAACUCUAGAGGAAAAGCUGGGCCGGAAAAGUGGGAACCUCUAGGGCGCCGCCCUGUUGCUACUGGUCAAUGUGGCCAGCGCAAUUACUAUUGAAAGAGCUGAGAACAAGUACAGGUCACCUUAUGCUUUGUCACCUAAAAACGCAUACCUGAUGGCUUUAUGAAGGUGGUACGUUAAUAUUAAGUUUACAGAAAGCGAUCGCUAAGUCCGUGACUUAUGUAAAUCACGAUGUACGCAUUCAUGCAAUAAAGGAUGACGCGAAUUUCGGUUUCGAAUCUGUUUUUUGGAUGCGUAGUAGUUUCGUUUGACAUGCGAUCGCGCGUCGACAUCGGACGCUAUGACACACUCGUGCCUUAUGUGCCACCGAAGCCCCGAAGUGGUCUGGCAUAUACCUUCACAUAUAUGCAAUGGCAAGCCCUUCCGUGUGUUCCAAAGACAAUGCCUACGCCUAGCCACAGCAGCUCCCUCAUACAGACUCCGCAAACCAAGAGGCCGUGGAGGCAAAUGCAGGCAGCCAGCACACCUCGAACAGCCACCUUGACUGCGGGUGUGUCACCCUAGUCGCCAAGGAAACAUUUGAGGGAAAGUGACAGGCAAUGUGAACAGCCACUCCUCCAUGUAAACAAUACUCUUUCUCUCGGAUGACUCCUACGCCUCACCACGCCAGCACACUUGUGCACAAAGAUGCCGCAGAGGCACGUGCAGGUCAGAGGCAAGAAGCAGUGGCACUGGUGUCGACAUUUACCCAAUUUCUUUUUCUUACACUGAGGCAGCCAGCACACCUCGAACAGCCACCUCGACUGCGGGUGUGUUAGUUGAUCCCUGUUGUACAUAUGCUCAUAAUAAACUUCAGUAAACUUGAACUUCAUAAUAAACUUGAAGGCAAAUGGUA